GGUGAGUGUCUUUGUUCUAUAUAUUUUGGUUUUCUUUAAUGGAAGUUGACAGUACCAUUUAACUGAUGCUUUUACUGUUCUAGUUCUAUAUACAAAUUUUCCAAGGUGUAUAGGAAUGGAAUUGUAGCUAGCUCUGUAUGCAAAAUGUCAAAUCUGGGUUGACUUUUUUUUUUUCCAUUGAUAAAAUAUUCAUGUGUGUGACCUAGUUUAGCUUGAUUUGAAGCUACAAAUUCUCUUAAAGUGACUCAAAAUUAUGCUGUUUUUUCUUAUUAAUUUUGGUCAAUAGUCAGCAGCAUUUCUGUCUUUAAUGGAAGUUUUAAGUAUCAUUUUCCACUAUUCCUUUCCCCUUUUACAGCAGGCUUGCUUGACUUUUUACUCUCAAUGUGGAAA
rnacentral:misc_RNA from 1 species